GAGAGAGAGAAAACAAGAGGGGCAACCAUUCGGCCAAGGGGGGCUGGCCGAAUAUGGUCCCCCAAUUUUUGAUCAAGAAGAAUUAUUUCUUCUCAAGCUUUCUUACUAACCAGAAGGUCCUCUAUAACGUGAAGUGGUCGUUGGGGCAAGCAAAGCGUUCAUUUUCGCAAAACACAAUUCUAGCGGAAGAAGGAAUUAAGUGGGAAAGAUUUUGGAGAAAUUGGAACUUGAAUUUGGAGGAGCGUAAGAAGCGGAAAAAGGUACACCCAGACGAGCAGAAGCUAGUAUAGAAGAGGUUCCAGCGAAGUUGGUAGACCCCACUUGUUCCUGGGAGUGCUGCCGAGUCAGAGCUUGUAUGCUAGGAUUUCUGGAUUGAUGCUAGAGACUUUGCAGACAGAGUCGUGGGUAUCGGGAGUCAGUUUGU